rnacentral:rRNA from 1 species
UACGUAGGCAGCGAGCGUUGUUCGGAGUUACUGGGCGUAAAGCGUGCGUAGGCGGUUGUCUAAGUCUGGUGUGAAAUCUCCUGGCUCAACUGGGAGGGUGCGCCGGAAACUGGAUGACUGGAGUGCCGGAGAGGUAAGCGGAAUUCCCGGUGUAGCGGUGAAAUGCGUAGAGAUCAGGAGGAACACCUGUGGUGUAGACAGCUUACUGGACGGUGACUGACGCUGAGGCACGAAAGCGUGGGUAGCAAACAGG